rnacentral:piRNA from 1 species
UGGCUCUUAAACCAUGCCUGUGACAGUAUC